rnacentral:piRNA from 1 species
UACAAUGGUAAUGUUGGGUGGAGUCUGGGA